rnacentral:rRNA from 1 species
UACGGAGGGUGCAAGCGUUAUCCGGAUUCACUGGGUUUAAAGGGUGCGUAGGUGGGCAAGUAAGUCAGGUGUGAAAUCUCGGGGCUUAACUCCGAAACUGCAUUUGAUACUGUGGUGCUUGAGGACUGGAGAGGAGACUGGAAUUCACGGUGUAGCAGUGAAAUGCGUAGAUAUCGUGAGGAAGACCAGUGGCGAAGGCGGGUCUCUGGACAGUUCCUGACACUGAGGCACGAAGGCCAGGGGAGCAAACGGG